AGCUUCACCACAGUAUAACAUAAGAUUAUGCGAAUUUAAAAUCUGACUUUUGUCAUCGUCAGGUUUCAAAACAGUAAUUCCACGAACUGCUGAUGAUGAUGAAGCAGUGAGUACAAAAUCCUGACCCUGAACUGCCAGUAGUGAUUCCAUGGCUUUUGAUGGUGGUUUGGUAAAGGUAAAGUGUUGUGCUGAGCUGAGACGUUUAGUACGCUAACGAGAUGCCAAUGGAAAACUAUAGGCGAAAUCAUUCACUCAAUCGUUUAAAUGUCUGUGUUUUAGAAAUAGCUUUUUUUCUUUUUUUUUUAAAGGUUACCGCCGUUGUAGUGUAAUCGUAGUAGCACGUUUAUCUCUUCGUGCUUACUCAUGUACUUUGAAAAUUCAAUACUCUGACAACAUAUAAAUAUCCUGAUUUGAAUAUUACAUUCAAAAAAUAAAAAUUUGGGACGAUACAAGUUCCUUUACUAUUCUAAAAAUGAUUGUUUCUUAUUAUUAAUAGUUAAAGAACUAGCAGUGUCAUUUAACAGUUAUGUCUUAACAUCUAAUUAAAAGGAUCUCAAGCUGUUUACUUGUUACUUAUUUAAACAAUAAAUGAAAAGAAUGUCUUAUUGGUAUUAAAUAAUGCAUAAAUGAAAUUUGGAGCGAGUUGUAUUCAUGGUUCAGAACUUUUAAAUGUUGCUGCCUAUUAUUGU